rnacentral:misc_RNA from 1 species
UUGAAUACGAUUGGUACUGAUGCUGGCUCUUUACUGAGCAUGUGCUCGUUCCAUCUAUUUAUCUUCUCUUGUGCACAUCUUGUGGUCUUGAAUUGAAACCUCUCGCAUUCGUGCGGUCUGGGAGUCUGAAUAAACCCUGCUCCUGCUUCGUUCAAGAUCAUGUUUUCAUAUACACUAUAAAGUUACAGAAUGUCUUUUAACGACUGCUUGCAGUCAUUAAACCUAUA